ensembl:lncRNA
AUGCCCCUUCCACCCCACCCCUCAUUCUCUUCCCCUUCCACCCCACCCCCUCACUCUCUUCCCUUCCACCCCACCCCUCAUCUCUUCCCCUUCCCCUUCCCCCCCCACCCCCUCAUUCUCUUCCCCUUCCACCCCACCCCCUCAUUCUCUUCCCCUUCCACCCCACCCCUCACUCUCUUCCCCUUCCACCCCACCCCCUCAUUCUCUUCCCCUUCCCCUUCCACCCCACCCCCUCAUUCUAUUCCCCUUCCACCCCACCCCCUCACUCUCUUCCCCUUCCACCCCACCCCCUCAUUCUAUUCCCCUUCCCCUUCCACCCCACCCCCCUCAUUCUAUUCCCCUUCCACCCCACCCCCUCACUCUCUUCCCCUUCCACCCCCCCCCCCUCAUUCUAUUCCCCUUCCCCUUCCACCCCCCCCCCUCAUUCUAUUCCCUUCCACCCCACCCCUCAUUCUUUUCCCCUUCCCCUUCCACCCCACCCCCUCAUUCUCUUCCCCUUCCCUUCCACCCCACCCCCUCACUCUCUUCCACCCCACCCCCUCACUCUCUUCCACCCCACCCCCUCAUUCUCUUCCCCUUCCACCCCACCCCCUCAUUCUAUUCCCCUUCCACCCCACCCCCUCAUUCUCUUCCCCUUCCACCCCACCCCCUCACUCUCUUCCCUUCCACCCCACCCCCUCAUUCCUCCUUCCCCUUCCCCUUCCACCCCACCCCCUCAUUCUAUUCCCCUUCCACCCCACCCCCUCAUUCUCUUCCCCUUCCACCCCACCCCCUCAUUCUUUUCCCCUUCCCCUUCCACCCCACCCCCUCAUUCUCUUCCCCUUCCCCUUCCACCCCCUCACUCUCUUCCACCCCACCCCCUCAUUCUCUUCCCCUUCCACCCCACCCCCUCAUUCUAUUCCCCUUCCACCCCACCCCCUCAUUCUCUUCCCCUUCCACCCCACCCCCUCACUCUCUUCCCCUUCCACCCCACCCCCUCAUUCUCUUCCCCUUCCACCCCACCCCCUCAUUCUAUUCCCCUUCCACCCCACCCCCCUCAUUCUCUUCCCCUUCCACCCCACCCCCUCACUCUCUUCCCCUUCCACCCCACCCCCUCAUUCUAUUCCCCUUCCCCCCCACCCCCUCACUCUCUUCCCCUUCCACCCCACCCCCAUCAUUCUAUUCCCCUUCCCCUUCCACCCCACCCCCUCAUUCUAUUCCCCUUCCACCCCACCCCCUCACUCUCUUCCCCUUCCACCCCACCCCCCUCAUUCUCUUCCCCUUCCCCUUCCACCCCACCCCUCACUCUCUUCCCUUCCACCCCACCCCUCAUUCUCUUCCCCUUCCCCUUCCACCCCACCCUAUCAUUCUCUUCCCCUUCCACCCCACCCCCUCAUUCUCUUCCCCUUCCCCUUCCACCCCACCCCCUCAUUCUAUUCCCCUUCCACCCCACCCCCUCAUUCUCUUCCCCUUCCACCCACACCCUCACUCUCUUCCCCUUCCACCCACACCCUCACUCUCUUCCCCUUCCACCCACCCCCUCACUCUCUCCCCCUUCCACCACCCCCCCCCCUCAUUCUCUUCCCCUUCCCCUUCCACCCCACCCCCUCACUCUCUUCCCCUUCCCCUUCCCCCCCCUCAUUCUCUCCCCCUUCCACCCCCUCAUUCUCUCCCCCUUCCACCCCCUCAUUCUCUUCCCCUUCCCCUUCCACCCACCCCCUCACUCUCUUCCCCUUCCCCCCCCUCACUCUCUUCCCCUUCCACCCCACCCCCUCACUCUCUUCCCCUUCCACCCCACCCCCUCAACUUCUCCCCCUACAUGACCCUUCUUUAGAGUCUGAGGGGCCGUAUCAAUGA